rnacentral:rRNA from 1 species
UACGGAGGGAGCUAGCGCUGUUCGGAAUUACUGGGCGUAAAGCGCGCGUAGGCGGCUUUGUAAGUUAGAGGUGAAAGCCCGGGGCUCAACCCCGGAAUUGCCUUUAAGACUGCAUCGCUUGAAUCCGGGAGAGGUGAGUGGAAUUCCGAGUGUAGAGGUGAAAUUCGUAGAUAUUCGGAAGAACACCAGUGGCGAAGGCGGCUCACUGGACCGGCAUUGACGCUGAGGUGCGAAAGCGUGGGGAGCAAACAGG